GUCCAGACUCCUACGGGAGGCAGCAGUGGGGGAUAUUGCACAAUGGGGGGAACCCUGAUGCAGCGACGCCGCGUGGGUGAAGGAGCGUUUCGGCGCGUAAAGCCCUAUCGGCAGGGAAGAAGGAGGACGGUACCUGACUAAGAAGCCCCGGCUAACUACGUGCCAGCAGCCGCGGUAAUACGUAGGGGGCAAGCGUUAUCCGGAUUUACUGGGUGUAAAGGGAGCGUAGGCGGUGAUGCAAGUCAGAAGUGAAAGCCCGCAGCUCAACUGCGGGACUGCUUUUGAAACUGUAUGACUAGAUUGCAGGAGAGGUAAGUGGAAUUCCUAGUGUAGCGGUGAAAUGCGUAGAUAUUAGGAGGAACACCAGUGGCGAAGGCGGCUUACUGGGCUGUAAAUGACGCUGAGGCUCGAAAGCGUGGGGAGCAAACAGGAUUAGAUACCCGAGUA
rnacentral:rRNA from 1 species